rnacentral:rRNA from 1 species
ACUCAGGGAGGUAGUGACCAGAAAUAACGACGACGGGUUUCGAUUCGUCGAUUGCAAUGAGCACAAUGUAAAAUUCUUAGCGAGUACCGACUGGAGGGCAAGUCUGGUGCCAGCAGCCGCGGUAAUUCCAGCUCCAGUAGCGUAUAUUAAAGUUGUUGCAGUUAAAAAGCUCGUAGUUGGACGUCUCUGCGACACGCAGCUCCGCCACGCAACUGGGCACGCUCUUAACUGAGCGGCCGAGACCUGCGGGCCCUUUACCUUGAGGAGACUAGAGUGUUUAAGGCAGGCUCCGCCUGAAUACUGCAGCUGGGAAUAAUGCGCACGACUGUCUUGGCGAGGCAGCUCCACACUUUUAAUAGGAACAGUUGGGGGCAUUCGUACUCAGCAGUCAGAGGUGAAAUUCUUGGAUUUGCUGAAGACGGACUAGUGCGAAAGCAUUUGCCAAGGAUUUUUCAUUAAUCAAGAACGAAAGUUAAGGGAUCCAAGACGAUCAGAUACCGUCCUAGUCUUAACCAUAAACGAUGCCGACUAGGGAUCGGGAGAGGCGUACACACUCUCUCGGCACCUCACGAGAAAUCCAAGUCUUUGGGUUCUGGGGGGAGUAUGGUCGCAAGACUGAAACUUAAAGGAAUUGACGGAAGGGCACCACAAGGAGUGGAGCCUGCGGCUUAAUUUGACCCAACACGGGGAAACUUACCAGGUCCAGACAUAGUGAGGAUUGACAGAUUGACAGCUCUUUCUUGAUCCUAUGGGUGGUGGUGCAUGGCCGUUCCUAGUUGGUGGAGUGAUCUGUCUGGUUAAUUCCGAUAACGAACGAGACCUCAGCCUGCUAACUAGAUCUUCUUAGAGGGACUUCCUGCUCGCACAGGAGGAAGUGAGGCAAUAACAGGUCUGUGAUGCCCUUAGAUGUCCUGGGCCGCACGCGCGCUACACUGACGCAACCUGCCAGUUCCAAGCCCGAACCGGCCUGGCAAACUGCCAACUGCGUCGUAGUUGGAACUGACCCUUGCAAUUCUUGGUCACGAACCAGGAAUUCCUAGUAAGCGCAAGUCAUCGGCUUGCACUGACUAAGUCCCUGCCCUUUGUACACACCGCCCGUCGCUCCUACCGAUUCCGAGUGAUCAGGUGAACCUCUCGGACCCUGGAAGUUAAGUGAACCUUAUCACUUAGA